rnacentral:lncRNA from 1 species
UAUCAGGCAACAGGAAGCAGAGGAUUGUGACCCAAAGAGAAGGGAAACAAAUGAGUAGGCACUAUUAUCCUCACUGAAACCGAGAGACCCAGCAGAUAAAGAACUUGUCUACGGCUAUGCAGCCAGGGAUGAAAACGAAUCAAGUGACUGAAAGAGAAGAAAGUUUCAGAUGACAGGAGUGACGUGCAAAGGUACAGACGCUUGAGGAAGCAUGGUAGGUAGAUUUGAGGCUGCAAGCUUCUUUCCUUCCUUCACAGGCACAUUUCUUGAAAGGUAAUAUCUACCCCCUGCCUUCAUUUUCGUUUCCUUAUUAGUUCAAGAAAUAUUUACUGAGCUCCUUGGUGACUACCCAGUCUUUCCUUGAUGACCUGAAAUUUGACCCUGUCCCUUCUAUUCAACUUGCCAACAACCUUUUUACUGCUGUAAUAAGAGGCCAUUUUUUUAUAAUACUCAUUUUCUUCUGAUUAUAAAAGUAAAUUCAGAUUGUGGUGAUGGUAUACAAUUCUGUAAAUCUGUUAAAAAUCAUUGAACUGGACACAAAACAAGAAUGUCUCCAAAUGUAAAUUAUACUUCAAUAAAG